rnacentral:rRNA from 1 species
UACGUAGGGACCAAGCGUUGUUCGGAUUUACUGGGCGUAAAGGGCGCGUAGGCGGCGCGGUAAGUCACUUGUGAAAUCUCUGAGCUUAACUCAGAACGGCCAAGUGAUACUGCAGUGCUAGAGUGUGGAAGGGGCAAUCGGAAUUCUUGGUGUAGCGGUGAAAUGCGUAGAUAUCAAGAGGAACACCUGAGGUGAAGACGGGGAUUGCUGGGCCAACACUGACGCUGAUGCGCGAAAGCCAGGGGAGCAAACAGG